UACGUAGGGUGCAAGCGUUAAUCGGAAUUACUGGGCGUAAAGCGUGCGCAGGCGGCUUUGCAAGACAAAUGUGAAAUCCCCGGGCUUAACCUGGGAACUGCAUUUGUGACUGCAUGGCUGGAGUGCGGCAGAGGGGGAUGGAAUUCCGCGUGUAGCAGUGAAAUGCGUAGAUAUCGGGAGGAACACCAGUGGCGAAGGCGGCGACCUGGGCCAAUAUUGACGCUGAGAAGCGAAAGCAUGGGGAGCGAACAGG
rnacentral:rRNA from 1 species